UACGUAGGGGGCAAGCGUUGUCCGGAAUUAUUGGGCGUAAAGGGCGCGUAGGCGGCUUGGCAAGUGGAUGGUGAAAUCCCUCGGCUUAACCGAGGAACUGCCGUCCAAACUGCUUUGCUUGAGACCGGGAGAGGUGAGUGGAAUUCCCAGUGUAGCGGUGAAAUGCGUAGAUAUUCGGAGGAACACCAGUGGCGAAGGCGGCUCACUGGUCCGGAACUGACGCUGAGGUGCGAAAGCGUGGGGAGCAAACAGG
rnacentral:rRNA from 1 species